UCCGUAGGUGAACCUGCGGAAGGAUCAUUAAUAAAUGGCGACGCUUUCGAGCUUAGCUUUUAUCAUCCUAUACACCUGUGAACUAUUUGCCUUCGGGCACCAAUCAAACAUAAUGUAAUGAAUGUAAUCUACUAUAAUAAAUACAACUUUCAACAACGGAUCUCUUGGCUCUCACAUCGAUGAAGAACGCAGCGAAAUGCGAUAAGUAAUGUGAAUUGCAGAAUUCAGUGAAUCAUCGAAUCUUUGAACGCAAAUUGCGCCUUUUGGUAUUCCGAAAGGCAUGCCUGUUUGAGUGUCUUAUAAACCUCACCCCUAGUGUUUUAUUACAAUAGGUGGUGCUUUGGGUGUUGCCGUUUACUCUGGCUCGCCUUAAAUGUCUAAGUGGAAUGCGUAAUAAGUUCUCGCAACCCUCCACUCUAACACACUUUAUAUUCUGACCUCAAAUCAGGUAGGACUACCCGCUGAACUUAAGCAUAUCAAUAAGCGGAGGA
rnacentral:rRNA from 1 species